CGAAUGGGCGAAAGCCUGACGCAGCGACGCCGCGUGAGGGACGACGGCCUUCGGGUUGUAAACCUCUUUCAGCAGGGACGAAGCGAAAGUGACGGUACCUGCAGAAGAAGCACCGGCCAACUACGUGCCAGCAGCCGCGGUAAUACGUAGGGUGCAAGCGUUGUCCGGAAUUAUUGGGCGUAAAGAGCUCGUAGGCGGUCUGUCGCGUCGGAUGUGAAAACUCGGGGCUCAACCCCGAGCCUGCAUUCGAUACGGGCAGACUUGAGUUCGGCAGGGGAGACUGGAAUUCCUGGUGUAGCGGUGAAAUGCGCAGAUAUCAGGAGGAACACCGGUGGCGAAGGCGGGUCUCUGGGCCGAUACUGACGCUGAGGAGCGAAAGCGUGGGGAGCGAACAGAAUUAGAUACCCUGGUAGUCCACGCCGUAAACGGUGGGUGCUAGGUGUGGGGAACUUUCCACGUUCUCCGUGCCGCAGCUAACGCAUUAAGCACCCCGCCUGGGGAGUACGGCCGCAGGGCUA
rnacentral:rRNA from 1 species